GAUGAACGCUGGCGGCGUGCCUAAUACAUGCCAGUCGAGCGAACAGAUGAGGAGCUUGCUCCUCUGACGUUAGCGGCGGACGGGUGAGUAACACGUGGAUAACCUACCUAUAAGACUGGGAUAACUUCGGGAAACCGGAGCUAAUACCGGAUAAUAUAUUGAACCGCAUGGUUCAAUAGUGAAAGACGGUUUUGCUGUCACUUAUAGAUGGAUCCGCGCCGCAUUAGCUAGUUGGUAAGGUAACGGCUUACCAAGGCAACGAUGCGUAGCCGACCUGAGAGGGUGAUCGGCCACACUGGAACUGAGACACGGUCCAGACUCCUACGGGAGGCAGCAGUAGGGAAUCUUCUGCAAUGGGCGAAAGCCUGACGGAGCAACGCCGCGUGAGUGAUGAAGGUCUUCGGAUCGUAAAACUCUGUUAUUAGGGAAGAACAAAUGUGUAAGUAACUAUGCACGUCUUGACGGUACCUAAUCAGAAAGCCACGGCUAACUACGUG
rnacentral:rRNA from 1 species